CCGUCUCUACCUGUGCCGGACUGAUAAAGUGAAUGUGUGUAUCGAUACCGCCUGCCGUGAGGAUCAUCCCUGCACCACUGUGUACUUCGGUGGAAGCUCCGAUAACCAUCCCUGGGGUAACGCCGUCCUGUACAUCUGGAUUUCCAGCUUUACCGAUACCAACGAUCUUACCGUCUUUCAUGCCCACAUCAGCCUUCACAAUACCCCAAUGGUCAAUAAUAAUUACGUUAUUGAUACAAAAAUCGAGUACGUCCUCAUUACGUAAUGCACGAGCAGAUUGCCCCAUACCAUCGCGG
rnacentral:sRNA from 1 species